rnacentral:rRNA from 1 species
GACGGAGGAUGCAAGCGUUAUCCGGAAUGAUUGGGCGUAAAGCGUCCGCAGGUGGCAGUUCAAGUCUGCUGUCAAAGACCGGGGCUUAACUUCGGAAAGGCAGUGGAAACUGAACAGCUAGAGUAUGGUAGGGGCAGAGGGAAUUCCUGGUGUAGCGGUGAAAUGCGUAGAGAUCAGGAAGAACAUCGGUGGCGAAGGCGGUGCUCUGGGCCAGUAUUGACGCUGAGGAGCGAAAGCGUGGGGAGCAAACAGG